rnacentral:rRNA from 1 species
UACAGAGGUCUCAAGCGUUGUUCGGUAUUACUGGGCGUAAAGGGUGCGCAGGCCGCGCGGGCAGUCAAAUGUGUAAUCCAGGGGCUCAACCCCUGAACUGCGCUUGAUACUUCCGCGCUCGAGCUUUGGAGAGGAGUCUGGAAUUCUCGGUGUAGCAGUGAAAUGCGUGGAUAUCGAGAAGAACACUUAGGGCGUAGGCAAGACUCUGGACAAAUGCUGACGCUCAUGCACGAAGGCUAGGGUAGCGAACGGG